GUAGUAAUUUCACAAAGAUCCUAAAUUGAAAUCCGCUGGAAUAAUAGGACACACAGGAGUAGCCGCUGUUCUCUAUUACGUACAGCAUGGCUGUAUCUGUGACCUGUGGUUGUGCAUAUUGUAGGUUUAUUUUUCACACUGCCAGUUAAGAUUUCCCAGAGUUUGACACAAAAUCUACAAUCACUGAGCCUCUACUGAUAUAUUUGUAUUGUCCGGAAGGCUGUCGAGUUCUUAGUCAAGAGAAUGGCUUCCAUGGUUUUCUUUCAUAGUGAAUGGUUUUGGAAAUAAAAUUUUAUGCUCAUACUUACUGAGGUCAGAAUCCUGAAAUUUCGUCCAGUGGUAUAAAUAAUAAUAAUAUGUCACAAGGUAUAUUAACCAUUUGCCUUGUACUAGGCCCUGUUACUACUAUUUAUAUACAUCAUUUCAUGUAGCCCUGUAACAUCCCUUUGAGAUAACUACUCUUAUAUCCUUAUUUUCAGAUGAGGAACUAAGAAGUUAAAAAUAUGCCCAAAGAGCCACAUAGUAGCAUUAACUCCAGCUCAGAGCUGACUCUUGACAGCUGCCAACAAAUUCUCUUUGUUCUUCUGGGUGGAAGACCAUGAAACAGGAAAAUAUUAAUAACAUGUAGUGUACUGCUUUCUAAAAUUUUCUUCCCGUUAUCAUAGUUUGGUUGGUAACAAUUCUUACCCACUUUUAUCUGUCUCUUUUCCUUUUCUAAAAUACUAUCCAUUUUUAUAGAAAGAGACAAAGGAAAAAUGUAUGUUCUUUUCUCCAUCUGGACGUUCUUGAAGGUUUAUGCUGAGAGAACCAUUAUUCUGUAGUGUGCCUUACCACUGACAGCCUGGGUGUAUAUUCUUCAGCCUAUUUUGUUUGUUUCUCCGCUGGAAAAAUGAAGAUGAAAUCACUGUGCCUUGCUAUCAAAGUAGGGAUGAAGGAGUAAUGUCCUUCAUAAUUACAGACAGUAUAAUUAUAAAUAAUAGGCCAUGGAUAUAACUGUAAAUAUGAAAAUGUGAGGUUUCCUCAUGAGAUACUGAGUGAUCUCAGCAGCCUGCAAAAGGUGAUAUGUGUCAAAGGACAUAAAACAGUAGGAGGAGAAAGAGCACUGAGCGAUCACGUAGUCCCAAAGUUAGCAGGGAUGCUUUCGGGGAGGCAUACCUGGAAAGAGGAUGUAAAUUCACCUUGCUGUGAAGGACUGGAGGAGCCAACCUUUUCAAUCCUGUGGCUAGUGGAGGGUCUUGAGUGUGCCUUUGGGGCAUGAAAGCCAGGAGGAAGCACACCCUGUUUAGCAGAUGUGUGGCUUCAGGGCCUUGGCAGGCAGAACAGGUUGAUUAUGCAUUGCCAUGGUUAUUCUGCCACUGAACAGUUAUACUCCAGCACCCUUCUUCAUUGCUCUGCCAAAGCACUUAUGCCUUGGAGCUCUGAGUCCAGGCACAGAAGGGACUGUCCUAAGUGAGUGAAGUGGUCAGGACGUCACUGCAGGCACUGAGAAUUUAUUAAAAUGAGGAUGAGGCAGAAUGGAGAGUUUUAUUCUCUGUAUUUGUGAGAGCUUUCUUCCGAUGCAAGAAGGAAACCCCAUCUAGUUUCAUGAAAACAUGAGCCUUGCCUAACCGACUUGGCUGCAGGCAAACCAACCCUGCCCCUGUGUUUUGAAAUUUGGGCUCUUUCCUCUUUCAUGUUCUUUUUCAUCAAGUGUGAACUCCUGAUUCUAUGUCAGCAGUUGAUCCCCAUUACAAAUAAUCUUCAGCAGAAUCUUGUUUUCCAUAUCCUAUUGACUUUGGCACCUGCUCUGUUUACUUAAGCACUCAAUUGAUAAGAACUGGAAUCUUUGCUGAUUUUUACCUAAAGCUAGAAAAGAAAACCUUUCAAGCCAGCAAAAAUAACCUUCCUCUGAAAAAAUACAUCAAAGGAGUGGUGCCAGCUCAGUUGGUAUUAGGUUGUGCAUUGCAUGGGUUGGAAACGAUGGACUGUAAAGAAAAGGGGUCUUUGCAGCAGGCAGAAGUAAAGCAACAACAAUUAAAGUAAACAGAGCAAACUUUCCAUGACAUGCUGCUACCAGCAUUUGUAAUAACCCCCAGGAUAGGACCCUACUGGAAGACGGGUUAGCUAGUGGGAAACUGACAGGAGGGAUCAGGAGUGGGGAGGCAGGACACAGUUACUAGAGCAGAGAUACGUAAUAAAGGCUUGGAGAUAGAAACAAAAGCAAAACAUUUAGAAUGGUUAAGACUCACUUGAUGUCACUUACCUGUCCCAGUGAUUGGGUUCUUUUCAGUGCCCUCUGUGAAGACAAGAAUGACAUCAGAGCAUACGUCCAGCUCUACUUUCUCAGGAGCCACAGAUUUUGGCUCUUCAUGCAGAAAUACUCAGAAUAUGCAGAUAAUGACACAUAUCAGAAACCUUAUCACUGAACAUUUUAAAUUCCAUGGUGGGGGAAGGAGGCAUGUCCUACACAAUAGGCAUCCUGUUUUGGGGGAGGUUUAUCACAAAAACUUUUUAUUGAUCACUGAGGGGAAAAAAUGGGGUUUUCAUCUGAAACCUUGGGUGUCUCAGUCUUUUUCUUUCCGAUUUUGUGUAAGCUAGACAAUUAUGUUGGAUUUACUUUCUCCAUCUUCAGUGGAAGAAAUGACCUUGUUGAGUAAAACAAGUAUGUUAAGUGUCAAUUCAUAAACACAGGUUUGUAUGGAAAGAGAGGAUAUGAAAUUAGACACACCUGUGAAGAUCUGGGGAUGGGUGACAUCUUUUUUUUCCAGUAAACAUUUAUUGAUCCUUUAUGAGGUACCAAGCACUUUAGUAAGAGCUGGGAAGAGGAGAAAAGAGCAAUGGUGGUCCUUGUUCCCCAGGAGCUCUAAGACCCUGUGUGAGACAGAUGUGGGGGUGGGGAUGUGCCAUGGUGGUGAGCAGGCAGGAGUGAUGGUGCCUGGGAAGAGGCAGGCGAGGGUCACGAGAGCCUGCAGAGAAAAGGAGGCAUUUGAGUCGGUCAUGAAGGACACCAGCAGUUUUUACAGGUGGACAAAAGACAUGUAAGGCAAAGAGAACCUCAAAGAGAGAAAGUGUGGACAUCUGGAUGGGGUUGUCCAGGAUUUCUGGCAGAGCUGACUUGGUGAGUGAGGGCAUUAUUGACUCUGACAGAUAAAUGAGAAGAAAACCAGCUUCUGAGGGGUAGUGGAAGCAGAUAGGGGCAUGCGGGGCAUGUUGAGAUGUGUUGGGACAUGCUGCGAUUGAAGGGGCCUGCGGCCAUCAGGUGAAGUGUGUAGCCGACAUUUGGAAGUACUGGCCUAGAGCUUAGGUGAAAGCCUGGCUGAAUAGGUAAGGUGCCACUGGUGUCAUAGAAUGAGGAGAAAGUAGUAUCAGAAAAUCACAGAAGAACGUAGUUUUAGACAGAGUGGUCAGUACAGCAUUAUCAAAUACUGUCAAGGGCUGGGCAAGGUGACUCAUGCCUGUAAUCCCAGCACUUUGGGAGGCCAGGAGUUUGAGACCAACCUGGGCAACAUGAUGAGACUCCAUCUCUACAGAAAAUUUAAAAAUUAGCCAGGCAUGGUGGCGCACCUGUAGUCCCCAGCCACUCAGGAGGCUGAGGUGAGAGGAUCGCUUGAGCCUAGGAGGUUGAGGUUGCAGUGAGCCAUGAUUGUGCCACUGCUCUCCAGCCUGGGCAUCAGAGAAGGCAAGUAAGAGAAGAGCUGAAAGGGGCCCCUUGGAUUCGAUCAUCUCCUGCCAGCUCUUGCUUUGUGGAACUGUGGUGGAGGUGGAAAACAGAUUACAACAGGAUGGGGGAAGCAGGGUAGGAAGCAGGUUGAAAAGCCAGUACGGAUGACCAGAUGACCAUUUUCCUUCAGUUUAGCUGGGAGAGGAUUCAGAAAGCACUGGCCGGUAAGGUACCCAUGGGGUCAGGUUUAAAUCAUCAUUCUAGUUGUAGACCCCACAUGGCUCCACAUUGAACUCCUGACCCCACUCCAGUAUCAAGGCUUUGUCUCGAUAUUGUCUGUGGCUGAGAAGUAGUGCACUAUCAGGUCUAUAAAAUCUCUGGUAAAAUAAAAAAAAACUCUUAUUAUUUCUAUUUUUUAGAUAGUUUUAGGAUGCUUGAGAGUCAUGUUUUAAUUCCCCCAUCCCUGCAGUGAGAUGUUAUGUUGCUUUCUGGAAAACCUUUGGGAGUCAUCAGUUAUCCUCUUCCACGGUUAAAUAAUCGACGUCCUUUGCUGUCGGCUGGAGCAGGGGGUGCUGUCCUGUGACUCAUGUGUUCUCAUUCACAGCAUGUUGAGCAAUGCACUUGGUGCUAGUGCCUAAUAAAGCAUGCUGAGGAUGUUGUCACUGAGCUCGAAUUUUCCUCAGUGGGGCUAGAUUUCUGUCACCACACAUUUUUCUUCUUGCUACACUCUGAGACACUUCUCAAUGAAACAUUUGUCCUUUUUUCCUUUAUUAUGUCUAGAACGGUGUCUUCUCUAACUUAGUAUUGCAUUUUGCUGUCGGGUAUUUAUCUCUGAUUCUGAAUUGUAUUUUUAGUGUUGCUUGUGUUCUUUCCUUUUCCUUUUUCCCCAACAAAGAACUUCUUGGAAGGUCUUCCAUCCCUGUCUCCCUCCAGACUGCCUUAGGGAAGCCAGAAGCCAUGCACAGUGAGACUUAUGAUGCGGACGUUGGCUCUGAUGAGAGGCCAAUACCACAGCCCUCAGAAGGGCAAAGGCUCAGCUCCCUGGAUAGACCACUCCUUAUUCCCACCACACUAAUUAAUUGUCAUCUCAGAAGGCAAUGAGACCAAUUGUUCUGGCAUUGCCCUGGCCAAGCCAACUCUGGAAGAGGCAGUGAGCUGCCAGCUUUUCUGCUGUUGGCCAGGAAUCUGUAUCCCAGCAGUCUGUCAGGGAAAACAGGCCAAUUUGGGGUUUGAAUUGCUGCCUCAGAGAUGCCAGCAAUGGGGUUGCUUGUUAAGAGAGUUGCACCCUAAGACUCUAGUGAAAUAGCUUGAAGAUCUGUGAGAGUGGUUUGAAUUCCGACAUGUGAAAGUAUGUGCUUUGCUUGUGAAGUGGAAAUUGCCCUAUUCAAGUGGGCUUAUGAGUCCCCUUUGUCACUUAGCUUGUCACUGAACUUAAAAUCUUUGUUCUUUACUUUCAACUUUACUGAGGGGGAAGAAUUUGGUGUUAAUAGAUGUGAAAGCUCUGUAGAAGAUGUUACUGGACACAUCAGAGAAAGAACUGUGAUUUUUAGACUCUUGGCAGUGGCUUCACAGUGGCCCCAAGGAGACAGGGGUAGGUGGGACUGUUCUCAUUGAUCGUGAUAGAGACAGUGAAGCAGAAAACCACUUAUGUGAUUUGUCUGAGGUCCUACCUAGCUGGCUGAAAUCCAGAGCAUCCAACACGACUACAUCACCUAACAUCUAAAAUGACAUUGCCUUGAAGGGAGAGAAACUGAAAUGGACAGAUACUUAAGUGCAGGUCUGCUGCUACCAUAGAGUGCCUUUGUGCAAAUGGAAAAGGCAUCUCUAGGCCCCAUGGGCAGGCAGAUUACACAAAGGUGCUUCUUAGUGACUAACCAAGGCACACAGCUUGGUGAGCAGAAUGCUGACUGGUUCCAGGCCCCAGGUUGAUCUCCACCACAUGUCCCUUUGCACAAGGCCCAAAAUGCACAACCACAUAGGGAGGCCCUGCAUAGACGUUUGCCUUGACAGUGGACUAGUUCAUAGAUAUUUGUAGCCAGUUGACCAAAUCCUUAUUUUACCUCCCCACUUUUCAUUCCCAAGGUAAAAAAUAAAGUUCAUCUAUUAAAAAACUAAUUGUAUGUGCCCCACCUUAACAGUAUUCUUAAGGAGCUCUAUUUUUUUAACCACUUUUCUCUCCCUGUAAAUUAUACUACCCACCCUUCCUUUUUGAUAUCUGCUGUAGCAAAUUGUAAGGCAGCACUCUGCCCACAGGACGUGGUCUUUAAAGGAGUCAUUUCCUCUUCCAUCUCCUCCAGGCCAUUCCCAUCGUGUUUUUCGUGGCACUGGCAACAGGAAGGCACACUGAAUAGCAGUGCUGAAAAGGCACUUUGUUGUUUAUGUUAUUACUGUGGGUUUGUCUCUGCCUAAUAAUUAGCGUUUCCGGCUUUCUGAAUUUAUUUGCCAAAAUAUUUGCAGGACUUUCGUGAACAAAUAAGGGAUGUGUUUCUUGACAUAACUGACCACUGCCUUGCAAGGCUGAGCGAGAGAUGUUUCUAGACAUAAUAGACCACUGCCUUGCAAGGCUGAGCAAACUUCUGGCUGUCGGAGUUUUUUUAGAUGGAUUUGCUCAGGGAAAGAUUAUCCUAGUAAGGCAAACACCUUCUAAAUCACUAAUCUGGCAUUGAUGCUAUCUCAGCGACCACAGUUCAGGAAGUUCGAAGUAUUCCAGUGUUCCUUUCAGGACAGGGUAGGUCAUUACUGAGGGGUGGCGAGUUCUUGGGUCCCAGGGGCAAAAGUCUAGUCCUGUCUGAGUUCCCUCCCAGUGAAGUUCGUGAGCCUCAGCUUCCUCAUCUGUAAUGUGAGAUAAUCAUAUUUGUCUUGUCUGGCUCAUAGAAUUGUAGUUGAGGGUUAAAUGAAAGAAAAUAUAUGUAGAAGUGCUUUGCUAACUCUAAAACAUUACAAAAAUGUUAUUUAUAUUAGACUCUAAGGAUACUGUUCUCUGAGGGAGGAUUAACCAAGGAGAGAGCCUUGUUCACUAUAUUUAGUUCGGCCAUCUCCCUGGCCCCUUCCCGACCUACCUUACCCAUCUAACUGGUUCCUUCUCUGUGUUGUUCUUUUGAAGAGGUCUUCUUGGCCUACCAGGAUUGCCCACGUUUCUUUGGACCCAUUGCACACCCAUAAGGACCACCCCCUUCAUUCUUUUUUCCUAUCAUAAUCAGCCUCUCCUAACCAGCUUGUUUUUCUAGCUGGGCAACAAUAACUCAAAUCCCUGCAAGUGUGCAGGUGAAUGGAGCAGGCAGGGUGAGGAAUUGAUGGCAUUGAAGCAGGCGGAAAGCGCUUGCCCCUCCCAAGGGGCAGCCACAGCUUGGCUGCAGCCAGCUGUUACCUUGUGGAAUUGAGGGCCCUGACUUGCCACACAUCUCCUGAUUUUUCAAGAGAAGGCAGAAAUCAGGAUUUUUAAGGGAAAUUUCCUCAUUUUUAAUGUUGGAAGCUAUUUCAAUGUUUUUUAAAUUAUAUUACGCAAAUCAACAGACCGUGGCCAAACAGCACGUUUGUGAACUGUGUUUUGCCCACAGACGGCUGGUUUGUGACCAUCUUCAGGUCUUUGAGCACAAGUGUGCCUCGUUUCCUCAAGGAUAAUACACAUGAAUGCAGUGCUCAGCUAGAGCAUCGCCUCCUGGCCUACCUCUGACUCUCUCUAGUUUCACUUGGUCACAUUUCUCUUUGAUCUGCUGUGACAUGACUCCCACUUUAAGCAACAACUCUUUCUUUAGUUGACGGUGACAUUUUUUUAGGACCCUCUUAUCUAUACUAGUCUUGGCCUUUCUGCCCUCAGGGUCCCUAUGCUAGACCCUCCAAGAUACCACCCUUUCUUCAAGCCGAGUGAUGAUUGCCCAUGUCAGUCACUUUCCAUCUGUUGCAGAUUGUUUAUACUGUGUAAAGUUUUACAGUAAGUGUCUUUGCUGCUUUCAGUGUUUCUGGAUGAGGUGGUCGUCUUUCUGAUUAUAAAGAGAUGGUUGUGAGAUGCUGAGGAAGGAUAGAUACAAGCCUUAUAGUGAACUUGGAAUUGUGUUCUUUAUGUGCUUAUGGAAUUGUGUUCUUUAAAGUAACUUUGGGGGUUCAUAUGAGAAUAUAACCCUGCUCAGAAGAAAUUACUUUUAAAAUAAUAUCCACAAAGGAACUGGUUAGAUUUUCUCAUGUGUUCUGCAGAUAUUUACCAAUGUAACCUACAUUUUUUCUUGAUGCCAGAUAGAUUGUAAGGAAUUUGCAUUAUUCCAUCUCAAGUGUAUAAUGAAAUAAUACACUGAAGCAAUUCACCACCAAGAGUUUUGUUUAAAAAAGGAAGUUCCAGCUCCAACUUAGGUUCAACAAUUGCUUCUGACACUUGCCAGUGGCUCAUUGUAAGAAACAAACAAUAAACAUUACCAGUGGAGAGAGAAAUGUAAUACCAUUUUAGAUUUUCUGACAAGAAGUAGUGCCAAGGACCCCUGCAAAAAUGGUUUGUUUUUAAAAUCUCCAGUUCUUUGAGUUAUAUUUCCAACGAGUUACAGUAUUGAAAUGCUUUAAAAAAAAACUAAUUUCAUGUUAGAGUAGUACUUUGCAGUUUAGAAACUUUCAUAUAUAGUAUUUAACUUCAUCCCCAUAGUUUUGUAAUAA
rnacentral:lncRNA from 1 species